rnacentral:rRNA from 1 species
GACGAACGCUGGCGGCGUGCCUAAUACAUGCAAGUCGAACGCAUUUUCUUUCACCGUAGCUUGCUACACCGAAAGAAAAUGAGUGGCGAACGGGUGAGUAACACGUGGGCAACCUGCCCAUCAGCGGGGGAUAACACUUGGAAACAGGUGCUAAUACCGCAUAAUUCCAUUUACCGCAUGGUAGAGGGAUGAAAGGCGCUUUUGCGUCACUGAUGGAUGGACCCGCGGUGCAUUAGCUAGUUGGUGGGGUAACGGCCUACCAAGGCUGCGAUGCAUAGCCGACCUGAGAGGGUGAUCGGCCACACUGGGACUGAGACACGGCCCAGACUCCUACGGGAGGCAGCAGUAGGGAAUCUUCGGCAAUGGACGCAAGUCUGACCGAGCAACGCCGCGUGAGUGAAGAAGGUUUUCGGAUCGUAAAACUCUGUUGUUAGAGAAGAACAAGGAUGAGAGUGGAAAGUUCAUCCCUUGACGGUAUCUAACCAGAAAGCCACGGCUAACUACGCG